rnacentral:misc_RNA from 1 species
CGUAUCGGUGUCGGUUUCCACCCGUGAUUGCUCACACCGGUGGCCUCUCAUCGUCUGGGAUUCUUCCAGAAGCGUCCGAGAUUAAAAAGCUAUUUUUCUACCCAAAAAAAAAACACUAUACUAUUUGGGAAAAACUUGCCUCGUUAUCAACUCAAUAUAUAAAUGUUUAGAAUUUUCAUUUUUAUCUUAUUAUAUAUUGUGUCCUAAUUUUAAGGUGCAUGGAAAUCGAAUUUAAAUAAAAAGAAUAUCUAUUUGUUUAGAGAGGGAAAAUUUUUCUCGAUUGAUCCCUUUGCUUGAAACUCUUGUUGGAUUUUCGAUGGUUGUUCUUUGCCCGUGAGUUGGGGAUGGCUUUCAUAUUCCUCAUUACGUUGUGGGUUCCUUCAUUUGAGACUCUUGUCGGAUUUCCACUAGCCACCCUAUGGGUGGG